AGAGUUUGAUCCUGGCUCAGAACGAACGCUGGCGGCGUGCCUCAUACAUGCAAGUCGAACGAGAAAGCCCGGCUUCGGUUGGGUAAGUAAAGUGGCGGACGGGUGCGUAACACGUGAGAAACAUGCCUCGAUGUUGGGGAUAAGCCUGCGAAAGCGGGUCUAAUACCGGAUGUGGUCACCGGGUCUCCUGGCCUGGUGAUUAAAGGUGGUUGAGUCUAUGCCAUCGCAUCGAGAUUGUCUCGCGCCCCAUUAGCUAGUUGGCGGUGUAAUGGACCACCAAGGCUCCGAUGGGUAGCCGACCUGAGAGGGUGCACGGCCACACUGGGACUGAGAUACGGCCCAGACUCCUACGGGAGGCAGCAGUAGGGAAUAUUGGACAAUGGGGGAAACCCUGAUCCAGCAACGCCGCGUGGGCGAUGAAGCUUCUUGGAGUGUAAAGCCCUGUCAGUGGGGACGAAACGUUGGGGAAGGAAAUGGCCCCGACCUGACUGUACCCGCAGAGGAAGUUCCGGCCAACUCCGUGCCAGCAGCCGCGGUAAUACGGGGGGAACGAGCGUUGUUCGGAUUUACUGGGCGUAAAGGGCACGCAGGCGGGGAAGCAAGUCAGGUGUGAAACCCCGGAGCUUAACUCCGGGACUGCAUUUGAAACUGCUUCUCUUGAGUACGGGAGAGGAUAACGGAAUUCUUGGUGUAGCGGUGAAAUGCGUAGAUAUCAAGAGGAACACCGGUGGCGAAGGCGGUUAUCUGGCCCGAUACUGACGCUCAUGUGCGAAGGC
rnacentral:rRNA from 1 species